rnacentral:rRNA from 1 species
UUGUCAAUGGGGGGGAGGUUUUAAAAAAUGCAAGUCGAACGAUGACUCUCUAGCUUGCUAGAGAUGAUUAGUGGCGGACGGGUGAGUAACAUUUAGGAAUCUACCUAGUAGUGGGGGAUAGCUCGGGGAAACUCGAAUUAAUACCGCAUACGACCUACGGGUGAAAGGGGGCGCAAGCUCUUGCUAUUAGAUGAGCCUAAAUCAGAUUAGCUAGUUGGUGGGGUAAAGGCCCACCAAGGCGACGAUCUGUAACUGGUCUGAGAGGAUGAUCAGUCACACCGGAACUGAGACACGGUCCGGACUCCUACGGGAGGCAGCAGUGGGGAAUAUUGGACAAUGGGGGCAACCCUGAUCCAGCCAUGCCGCGUGUGUGAAGAAGGCCUUUUGGUUGUAAAGCACUUUAAGCAGGGAGGAGAGGCUAAUGGUUAAUACCCAUUAGAUUAGACGUUACCUGCAGAAUAAGCACCGGCUAACUCUGUGCCAGCAGCCGCGGUAAUACAGAGGGUGCGAGCGUUAAUCGGAAUUACUGGGCGUAAAGCGAGUGUAGGUGGCUCAUUAAGUCACAUGUGAAAUCCCCGGGCUUAACCUGGGAACUGCAUGUGAUACUGGUGGUGCUAGAAUAUGUGAGAGGGAAGUAGAAUUCCAGGUGUAGCGGUGAAAUGCGUAGAGAUCUGGAGGAAUACCGAUGGCGAAGGCAGCUUCCUGGCAUAAUAUUGACACUGAGAUUCGAAAGCGUGGGUAGCAAACAGGAUUAGAUACCCUGGUAGUCCACGCCGUAAACGAUGUCUACUAGCCGUUGGGGUCCUUGAGACUUUAGUGGCGCAGUUAACGCGAUAAGUAGACCGCCUGGGGAGUACGGGCCGCAAGGUUAAAACUCAAAUGAAUUUGACGGGGGCCCGCACAAGCGGUGGAGCAUGUGGUUUAAUUUCGAUGCAACGCGAAGAACCUUACCUGGUUCUUGACAUAGUGAGAUCCUUGCAGAGAUGCGGGAGUGCCUUCGGGAAUUCCACAUACAGGUGCUGCAUGGCCUGUCGUCAGCUCGUGUCGGGAAAUGUUGGGUUUAGUCCCGCAACCGAGCGCACCUUUUCCUUAUUUGCCAGCGGUAGCGGGGCUUAGAAACUGGCAAGUGACAACUGAGAGGCGGACACUC